UUGGUGGGGGGAGUGGUGACUGGGAGAGUGACAGUUGCUCUAGAGAGGUCUCUUUCCUGGCCCUGGAACUGGAAGGAGCGUUCUCUCACUGUCUCUGGAUAGAAGUACCUCUAUUCCUGGAUUUUUCCCAACUGUGUGCUCUACCCGGAUUUCUGUGAUUGUGUCAUAAAGCAAAAGUUUUUCUAGGCGAAGAUACUGGAAUAGUUUGCCAUUUCCUUCUCCAGCCCAUUUUACAGAUGAGGAACAGAGAUGGCAGAUCUGGGGAUGCACAGGAAAGAACUUGGACUUGUGGAAGAAAUUACAUCUACCAUUGCAAGAUUAGCCCCUUCUGGGCUAAGUGGCUGGACCAGAGUCACACAGCAGGAUGCAUGGGAGAAAGGAGGGGCCUGUAAGGCCAGCCAAGUAGAGCACACUGCCUCUUAGGCAGCUUAGAGGAAACUUCUGGUGAGGAACGGUUGAAUUAGAUGAUGCUCUCUGAGGGUCUCUCCAGCUCUAAACGGGCUGGGAAUCUGCCUGAAACUGGUUGCUUGUGCACCCUUCAUGAGAAAGCCAGGCUCGGUGGUCCCCAAACGCGAUGUCUGAGAACGGGAAACAAGCCCCAGAUGAACGUUUUUCUUUGGGUAAUUCCCAACCUCAGAAAUCCAAGCUCUGAUCAUUAAAAAUUGACUGCAGAAGGUGUGAAGUGCAUUUGGAACUCAGCAGCCUAAGGAGGAAAUGCCAGGAGUGACACCUAGCGGUCACAGGACAGUAGGACAGCCCAGAUUAGAUCUUAGAUUCCCCCCACCCGGCGCCCUGAAGGCAUCAUUAAGUCUCAACAGAUAGAAAACAAAAAGAAAUGGAAAGUCUUUACAAAUUGGAGCUGCUCUCCUCUUAUUCCUGCCAGGCGCUAAGAAGAAAACAAACAAUCCGGGUAUCUCUUAGUUUCUUAAAGCAAUUGAUUCAAUUAUACUGGGUAGGAAAGCUUCUAAUGGAGGGAGCAUGGCAACUCAGGGAGCCUCCAGUGCUUACUCCCUGAGUAACCUGGGGCAAUACUUCACCUCCCUGAGCCUCAGUUUGUUCAGCUAUAAAAUGAAAGGUUGUACCAGGUACCUUUAGGUUCCUUCUGUCUCUGAAUCGCUGAUUCCCUGCCCUUUUCGUCAUUUCUGUUGGGUCUGAUUCUUUGUGACCUAAUAUGGGAUUUUCUUGGCAAAGAUACUGGAAUGAUUUGUUCUUUGCUUUCCAGCUUAUUUUACAGAUGAGGAAAAUGAAGUAAACAGGGUUAAGUGACUUGCCCAGGGUCACAUAGCUAGUGUCUGAGGACUGAUUUGAACUCAAGUCUUCCUGACUCCAGACCUGGCACUCAAUCCACUGUGGCACCCCAGUUCCCUUUGAAAUUUCUCAGAAAACUGAAAUGACUUUAAAAGAAAAGGGUGUUUCAUGGCAGGAAAACACUAUUCAAUUUAUUGCCCUUGUGUGAGCCUUCAAUUUCAUUGGUAUAAGUUUACUUCUAGUAAGGAAACGCUGCCUACAAUAUAGAGCUAACAACUAGCUAACCGCUUUAGACACUUGUCUGAGGAUACUGAGAAGCUCCUUGGUGGAUCAGUGGAAAAGUCCUGGAAUGAAGUCUAGAAAGACUUACUGUCAGACCUGACCUUAAACACUUACAGGCUGUCUCCAUUUCCUUAUCUGUAAAAUGGGGAGAAUGUUUGGUUGUUUUGAGGAUUAAAUGAGAUAGUAUUUGUAAAGGAGUUUGCAAAUGUUAAAAAAACUACACAAAUUGACAACUACUACUACUACUGUUACUGCUGCUACUACUAUUACUGAUGCUGCUGCUGCUACUAUUGACACUAUUGCUACUAUUAUUACUGUAAUAAUUACUAUCACUACUGCUACUACUGUUGCUGCUGCUGCUACUACUAUUUCUACUACUGAUACUACUAAUAUUGUUGCUGCUACUGCUACUACUAUUACUGCUAUUGCUACUACUACAACUACUAUUACUAUUGCUGUUGCUGCUGCUGCUACUACUACUACUAUUACUACUACUACUACUACUACUACUACUUAAUAUUUUAUUAUAUUAAGUGCCUUGCUAUCAUCUCAGAGUCAGUAUAUGUCAAAGGCAGGACUUGAACCCAAGUCAAUGUCAGAGUAGAUGGAGUGCUUAGCCUAGAGUCAGGAAGACUCAUCUUCUUUAGGUAAAACCUGGCCUCAGACUUCUAGCUGGGCAUCACGUAACCCUGUCUGCCUCAAUUUCCUCAUCUGUAAAAUGAGCUGAAAAAGGAAAUGCCCAACCAUUCCAGCAUCUUUUCCACAAAAAUCCCAAAUGGGGUCAUGAAGAGUUGGAUAUGACUGAAAACAGAACCACUGCUGCUGCCACCAUGACUCUUACUCUGCUAUUUUUCAAAUUGAAGUUGCUUUUGUAAAAGAAUGUGUGAGAUGAUGGUGUUUUCAAAAAUUGUUAAUUAAUCAUUAAAAUAAAGUUUAAUGAUUGAAUCAAUACUUUGAUUAACUCUGAUAUUUUCAGCCUCAGACACUCAUUAGCUGUAUGACCAUGCACAAAUCACUAGGUGGGGAGACAAAUUAUUUUGAUCAAAAUGAAAAUAUAUCAUUCCUGAUAAGUGAAGGAAAAAACCAAAUCUUGCCCAGAAUAAUUACAAGUAUAAACUUCUUUUAUUUUUUUUUGUCACUACAUUUGGUUGGCUGAUGGAACAAAAAUGCUCUCAGUUGAUCCAUCCCCCACAUAUUUGACUGGCUCAUGACAACAUGCAUCUUACUAAGAACAUCCUUUCAUUUCAGAUACUCUCAGGAAAGUGGGGGGAAGGAAGAGGAAUAAGCAUUUACAUAGAAGAUAUUGUUCUAAGAGCUAUAUAAAUACUCUCUCCUAUAAUUCUGACAGCAAACCUAAAAGGGACUUAUGUUCUAAUGGAGGAAUACAAAACAUAAAAGUAAGCUGAAAAGUAUGGGGGACGUGAAGGAGAAAAUCAAGUCAAGAAUGGAGGCUCACCUGGGUACUUUCUUUAAAAUGGGGAUUCUGGGAAGAACCAACUAAACAGAGGAAGAGACUACAAGAUUCUUGCUGCCUUGGGCUUCUAGUUGUUGGAUUCUAAUUUUUAAAGACUCAAUUUCAUCCCUGGAUUUUUGGUCAUCCUUCUCCAUUUGUUCUUAUUUUCCUUGUAAGUCAUCUUUCAUCUUCUUUGCCUCAUUUUCAAGCUGGUUAAUUUUGACUUUCAAGCCACUGUUUUCUUGUUUUAGUUCAUGUGCCUUUGUUUCCAGAUGACUUAUUUUGCUUUUUAAAUUCUUUUCCCAGUUGUCUUCAGCCUCUCUUAAUUGUUUUCCAAAUUGUAUUUUGAGUUUUUCCAAAGCUUGUGUCCAAUUUGUUGGAGUUUCUGUGUUUUUUGAUUGGUGUUCCUUGGUCCUUCUCUGUUCCAUUUGCUCUUUGUUUAUUACCUGGAUUGAAACUAUUGAUUGUAAUUUUUUCUUUUUUGUUGUUUACUCAUUUUCCCCUAUUCUUUCCCCCCUGGAAUUGCUUGUAAUCUUGCUCCUCUGAUUAUGUGCUGGAUCUGUGGGUUUGGGCUAUUCUGUCCUGAAAGGACUUCUUCUCUGCUCUGCUGAUUGACCAGGUUAGGCUUGUAAAAAUGGAUAUUUGAACCCCAGACUUCAAUCCCCAGAAGUCCAUGGCACUUCCCAGAAUGCCCUAUAAUCUCAUCUGAGAUCCCCAUCUGGGUUGAGAAUAAAAUUUGUAUUUAAACUGACUCUCUGCCUACUUUGUGUCUCUCUGUUUCCCCUCCUAAACACUUGCGUCUCUC